rnacentral:rRNA from 1 species
GACGAACGCUGGCGGCGUGCCUAAUACAUGCAAGUCGAACGCAGUGGGGACGGGUGAGUAACACGUGGGUAACCUCCCAUCAGAGGGGAUAACACUUGGAAACAGGUGCUAAACCGAUACUGAUGGAUGGACCCGCGGUGCAUUAGCUAUGUGGUGAGGUAACGUCUCACCAAGGCCACGAUGCAUAGCCGACCUGAGAGUGUGAUCGGCCACACGGGGACGGAGACACUGACAGUACUCACACGUGAGGUAGCAGUAGGGAAUCUUCGGCAAUGGACGAAAGUCUGAUCGAGCAACGCCGCGUGAGGGAAGAAGGUUUUCGGAGCGUAAAAUUCUGUUGUUAGAGAAGCGGUAUCUAACCAGAAAGCCACGGCUAACUACGUGCCAGCAGCCGCGGUAAGAC